rnacentral:ncRNA from 2 species
UCAUUGUGAAGCAGAAUUCACC